CUAUUUCCCCGCAACGCUGAUUACACUGCGAGAGGCAUAACUAAAGUCGUCGGGUUUACUGAAAUGGCGAAAGUUACACUCCGUUGCGUACUACACGUCAGUCCAUUUGAUUUUGCUGGAGUUGUCUAUCUUCUUCUGCUCUAUGAUCUUUGCUGAUGAGCAAGGAAACCAAGAUCUCGUUGCACUUCCCCAUCAAUAAUCUCCAUCGGUUCCUUGUUUUUGCAAAUCAACCCCCAUGGAGACAGUCACAUGAUUUCUGUGAAAAGCGAAGGGUGUGAUUGUGGUGAAACUGAAAGCACUGAAGCUGUCAGUAUUACCAGGCACAAUCUGAGCACAAGUCACUCUGACAAUCUGAAGCAGCCAGUCCCCUGUCCGGGACACUGAAGGAAGGAGCUGGUAAUCAGUCACUAGCGUGAGCGGUAAGACUGUGUGAUCGGAGCCACAGACACAACUCUAGUGAGAGAGCGUGAGCGGUGAGAUCGUGUGAUCGGAGCCACAGACACAACUCUAGUGAGAGGUAAGGACAAGAGAGGGGACGGAGACCGGCAGCAGCUGUAAGAUUGCCACGACGGAGGUAUAGAAUGAGGGCCAGGUAGAGUGGGAGCGGCCGUGUUGGGAGGGAUUGUGAAGUCAAACUGAUUCUGCUGAGGUUUAAACCCAAACAGAAACUUACUGAGAUACGGCCACUAAUGCCAAAGUGCUCACCAACUGACAUUCACCCAUUUAUCUGACCAUUCCAUAGGACUACGCCCAGCAUGGCCCCAUCCAUAGGUGGACUAUCUAUCUUCUGGCACAAAAAAACAUUCUUGGAUACACUUUAAAAACUCUACCGUCUGUCUCACGAAGAUGAUCCCACAAUACUGGGAAAAUUCAAAUCCCCGAUUAUUCCAAUACAAUUUCUCUCUGCAAUUUUCCUUGAUAUUUGCUCCUCUAUCUUCUGCUAACUGUUGGGAAUCUACUCCCCUUUUUAACCUCUACCCAUAUUGUUGCAUUUGAAGUGCCUGCUCAAUCAUCCUCCCUCAUUAGUGCAAUGAUGAUGUCCUUCACAAAUCAUGCAAUGCUCUCUCCUCUUACACUGCCCUUGUCAUGCCUGGAACUUCUAUACCUUUUAACAUUGAGUUGCUGGUCUUUCAACUAUGUCUCAGUGAUUGCAAAAAUACCAUAUACCCACAUGCUGAUCAGCGUUAAGUUCAUCUGCUUUACUGGUCAGAAUCUUUACAAAAUAGAUGCAAUUUGACCUUCUCGUCCUACCAUGUACAACAUCAUUCCCACCUCUGUUCUACCUAAUGACUGACCUAGUGUUUCUACAAUUGACUGAAACUUACCCUCAAUCACACAUGUAGUCGAAGUCCCAUUUCUCUGACCAAAUUAGUUUCAAACCUUCUCAACAAUAAAUAGGGGUAAAACUGCCAGCAAGGAUAUUGGACUUUGCCCCAUUCAGGUGCAAACUGACCUGCUUGUAUAGGCUGCACCCAUUCCAGAAAUGUCUAUGUCCCAACAGCCAAAGCCCUCCCUCCUACAUCAUCCCUUUGGCCACACAUUCAUCUGGCCUAUCUUUGUAUUCCUAUACUCAGGAGCAUGUGACACCAGAAACAAUGCAGAGAUUACAAUCUUGAACGUCCUGCUCAUGAUUCUGCUAUGUAAUGCAUGGAAGGAUACAAAUCUAAUGCGGGCAAAUGGAUUAAUGUAUAUGGGCAAAGAUGUAUGGACAUGGUUGGCCAAAGGGCCUGAUUAGUGUCAUACAGCACGGUAACAGACCCUUUAGGCAAGUCUGAAGAAGGGUCUCGACCCGAAACAUCACACAUUAACUUCUCUCCAGAGAUUCUGCCUGUCCCGCUGAGUUACUCCAGCUUUUUGUGUCUACCUUCAGCCCAAUAAAGUAACAAGUAAAAUGCAUGAAGGGAUGCCAGUGGAUGUAGUGUAUCUAGACUUUCAGAAAGCCUUUGAUAAGGUCCUGCACGGGAGACUGGUGACUAAAAUUAGAGCACAUGGUAUUGGGGGUAGUGUAUUGACAUGGAUAGAAAAUUGGUUGGCAGGCAGGAAGCAAAGAUUAGGAGUGAACGGGUCCUUUUCAGAAUGGCAGGCAGUGGCGAGUGGAGUGCCACAAGGCUCGGUGUUGGGGCCGCAACUGUUUACCAUAUAUAGUAAUGAUUUGGAAGAGGGAAUUAUGAGCAACACUAGCGAGUUUGCGGAUGACACAAAGCUGGGUGGCAGUGUGAACUGUGAAGAGGAUGUUAGGAGGUUGCAGGGUGACCUGAACAGGUUGAGUGAGUGGGCAGAUGCAUGGCAAAUGCAGUAUAAUAUAGAUAAAUGUGAGGUUAUCCACUUUGGCGGCAAAAAUAAGGGGGCAGAUUAUUAUCUCAAUGGGGUUAGGUUUGGCAAGGGGGAGGUGCAGCGAGACCUGGGCGUCCAUGUACACCAGUCACUGAAAGUUGGCGUGCAGGUACAGCAGGCAGUGAAGAAAGCUAAUGGAAUGUUGGCCUUCAUAACAAGAGGAUUUCAGUAUAGGAGUAAAGAGGUUUUUCUGCAGUCGUAUAGGGCUCUGAUGAGACCACAUCUGUAGUAUUGUGUCCAGUUUUGGUCUCCUAAUUUGAGGAAGGACAUCUUUGUGAUUGAGGCAGUGCAGCGUAGGUUCACGAGAUUGAUCCCUGGGAUGGCGGGACUGUCAUAUGAGAAAAGAUUGAAAAGACUAGGCUUGUAUUCACUGGAGUUUAGAAGGAUGAGGGGGUGUCUUAUAGAAACAUAUAAAAUUAUAAAAGGACUGGACAAGCUAGAUGCAGGAAAAAUGUUCCCAAUGUUGGACGAGUCCAGGGGCCACAGUCUUAGAAUAAAGGGGAAGCCAUUUAUGACUGAGGUGAGAAAAAACUUUCUACCUUCUCUCUCUCCCAGAGUGUUGUGAAUUUGUGGAAUUCCCUGCCGCAGAGGGCAGUGGAGGCCAAGUCAUUGGAUGGAUUUAAGAGAGAGUUAGAUAGAGCUCUAGGGGCUAGUGGAAGCAAGGGAUAUGGGGAGAAGGCAGGCACAGGUUUUUGAUUGGGGACGAUCAGCCAUGAUCACAAUGAAUGGCGGUGCUGGCUCAAAGGGCCGAAUGACUUCCUGCACCGAUUUUGUAUGUAAUAUUUCCAUAUGGACCAAGAUACUGAUUAUAGUAGCGAGUCCCAUUUUCUCACGUUUGGCCCAUAUUAAUGAUUUGGACGAGGGAAUUGAAUGCAACAUCUCUAACGUUUGCAGAUGACACGAAGCUGGGGGGCAGUGUUAGCUGUGAGGAGGAUGCUCGGAAGCUGCAAGGUGACUUGGAAUGGGGAUCAGUGCAGGAUGGAGAGGAGGGGUCUC